UACGUAGGGUGCGAGCGUUAAUCGGAAUUACUGGGCGUAAAGCGUGCGCAGGCGGUUUUGUAAGUCAGAUGUGAAAUCCCCGGGCUUAACCUGGGAACUGCGUUUGAAACUACAAGGCUAGUGUGUGGCAGAGGGGGGUGGAAUUCCACGUGUAGCAGUGAAAUGCGUAGAGAUGUGGAGGAACACCGAUGGCGAAGGCAGCCCCCUGGGUUAACACUGACGCUCAGGCACGAAAGCGUGGGGAGCAAACAGG
rnacentral:rRNA from 1 species